rnacentral:rRNA from 1 species
CAGUAGCCACGGUAAUACAGAGGGUGCGAGCGUUAAUCGGAUUUACUGGGCGUAAAGCGUGCGUAGGCGGCUUUUUAAGUCGGAUGUGAAAUCCCUGAGCUUAACUUAGGAAUUGCAUUCGAUACUGGGAAGCUAGAGUAUGGGAGAGGAUGGUAGAAUUCCAGGUGUAGCGGUGAAAUGCGUAGAGAUCUGGAGGAAUACCGAUGGCGAAGGCAGCCAUCUGGCCUAAUACUGACGCUGAGGUACGAAAGCAUGGGGAGCAAACAGGAUUAGAUACCCCGGUAGUCCCUGUCUCUUAUAC